rnacentral:rRNA from 1 species
AUACGUAGGUGGCAAGCGUUGUCCGGAAUUACUGGGCGUAAAGCGUGCGCAGGCGGUUUUGUAAGACAGAGGUGAAAUCCCCGGGCUCAACCUGGGAACUGCCUUUGUGACUGCAAGGCUAGAGUACGGGAGAGGGGGAAGGAAUUCCGGGUGUAGCAGGGAAAUGCGUAGAUAUGCGGAGGAACACCGAUGGCGAAGGCAAUCCCCUGGGCCUGUGCUGACGCUCAUGCACGAAAGCGUGGGGAGCAAACAGGAUUAGAUACCCUGGUAGUCCACGCCCUAAACGAUGUCAACUGGUUGUUGGGUCUUCAUUGACUCAGUAACGAAGCUAACGCGUGAAGUUGACCGCCUGGGGAGUACGGCCGCAAGGUUGAAACUCAAAUGAAUUGACGGGG